UCAAUCAUGCAACAGUGCAACACCACUGAUCAACUAGCCCUCUUGUAAUGGUGAAAAGCCUGAUAACAAGGACCAAAAUCAAGCCCAAUAAGAUUUCAUGGCGGAAUUGAAGCAGAACUCAUGUGCCGCUGACGAGCAACACAACGAAUCUGCGCCUCGUAAUUCAUGUGUCGCCUCCUCCUUCCCAAGGAGAAGUACGCAUUGGAUCUUUUGAAAGAUAUUGGGUUGCAAGGGUUAGAGCCUUGUGAAAUGCAUAUGGAUCAGAGUGUUAAGCUCAUUGCUUGUGAAAGGGAGCCCCUCAAAAAUCCAUGAAGGUAUAGGAGGUUAGUGAGAAAGCUGAAUUAUCUCAUUAUUAUUCCCGCCAGACAUCGCUUCCUCAGUAAGUGUGGUGAGUUAAUUAGUUCAUGGAGGUUCCUAUGUAGAUUCAUUGGGACGUAGCCGUUUGGGUUGUGAAAA